rnacentral:rRNA from 1 species
GAUGAACGCUAGCGGCAGGCUUAACACAUGCAAGUCGAGGGGCAGCAUAAUGAAGUAGCAAUACUGAAUUGAUGGCGACCGGCGCACGGGUGCGUAACGCGUAUGUAACCUACCUCUAACAGGGGGAUAACACUGAGAAAUUGGUACUAAUACCCCAUAACACUUGAUAGGGCAUCCUAUUGAGUUGAAAGUUCCGGCGGUUAGAGAUGGACAUGCGUUGUAUUAGCUAGAUGGUGAGGUAACGGCUCACCAUGGCGACGAUACAUAGGGGGACUGAGAGGUUAACCCCCACACUGGUACUGAGACACGGACCAGACUCCUACGGGAGGCAGCAGUGAGGAAUAUUGGUCAAUGGACGCAAGUCUGAACCAGCCAUGCCGCGUGCAGGAUGACGGCUCUAUGAGUUGUAAACUGCUUUUGACAAGGUAACCCCGAUACGUGUAUCGGGCUGAAAGUACUGUACGAAUAAGGAUCGG